AUGACCUUACUUGAACAGGAACUGUUCUAUAGGCAAGUACCUCUGUAUCCUUGAGUUCUUAGGUGACAGGAUUCCGGGUCUGGUUGAUGAACUGAGGCUGUGUGAUCAGAGCGUGAUUUUUGGUCUGGGUUUCCCCUCGUUGGGAUUACGUUAGCCGCAGAGGAUCGUUCCCAGCUUGCCUUGUCUGGCUGGGGUGGUCAUGCAGUUGUCUGAUAGACC